GACGAACGCUGGCGGCGUGCUUAACACAUGCAAGUCGAGCGGUAAGGCCCUUUCGGGGGUACACGAGCGGCGAACGGGUGAGUAACACGUGGGUGACCUGCCCUCAGCUCUGGGAUAAGCCUGGGAAACUGGGUCUAAUACCGGAUAUGACCCCAUGACGCAUGUCGGUGGGGUGGAAAGCCUUGUGCGGCUGAGGAUGGGCCCGCGGCCUAUCAGCUUGUUGGUGGGGUNAUGGCCUACCAAGGCGACGACGGGUAGCCGCCUGAGAGGGCGACCGGCCACACUGGGACUGAGACACGGCCCAGACUCCUACGGGAGGCAGCAGUGGGGAAUAUUGCGCAAUGGGCGUAAGCCUGACGCAGCGACGCCGCGUGGGGAUGAAGGCCU
rnacentral:rRNA from 1 species